rnacentral:misc_RNA from 1 species
GUCAAAUCACAAUUAUUGGUUCUUUCUUGAGAAUGGUUAACGUGUAUCUUUAUAAUCUUUUCAUUUAUUUUAUUUCUUUAAGAAAAUAAGGCUGAAGGUGUGAGGUGCGAGAUAGAGAGAGUGAUGCUACCUUCAGAAUUGAGAAAAGUGUUGGAUAACUCAUUCAUGUAUGGUGCUGUAUUAUUAUGUGAUGUUGACUAUGAAAUCUUAUGAUUGAUAUGUACUUAAGAGGAUAAUUAAGUGCGAGAAGAAAAUCACAUUUAAUCUUAUAAAUCAGCCAUGUUUUCUAAGUGCCAAAACUGGAUCGCACUUAAUCUUAUAAAUCAUUCAGUAGCUCUGCUUACUGAAGGAAGUGUAAAUGACAUUGCAACUCAAGUU